rnacentral:lncRNA from 1 species
CUAGCACGUAUAUCCCUACUGGACUCCAUAUGUGUAACUAGAUUGCUGCUGGACUUUUCUUUUUUGGAUGUUCUAUGUUAAACUACAUUUAAAUUGACCCAUCAUAUUUUCUCUCAAUUCUCAUUCUGUGUUCCACAUCUCAGUAAAUGUCACCAAAAUUCACUAACUCUUUUACUUCAGGAGCAAGGAUGCAAUCAUUAGUACCUUUGUCUUCCUCAUUCCUUCUCAAUUUCCAAGUUCAUUCUGUAUUUUCUUCAAAGAUUUGAACUCACAUUUUUCUCACCAGCCUCACUGCCAUGCCACAGAGGAAUUCAUCUGAACUUGGUGAAAUUAAUAGUUUAUAGUCUGUUUUAACAUCCAAUUGUAUUUGGUUUUGUAAUGUUCUAUACUACAUGCAAUGGUCUUUUCACUCCAAAUAGAUAAACUUUCUCGAAGGUAAAUAUUAUAUUACCUACCUUUUGGCAUAUGCAUUGUUUUAAUUCUGGUGCUAGAGCUAUACAUGUAGUACAUUUAAAUGUAGUUUUGAAUUUGGUAUUCUUGGAUAGAACUGGAGGUCAUUAUGUUAAGUGAAAUAAGCCAGGCACAGAAAGACAAACUUCACAUGUUCGCACUUAUUUAUGGGAGCUAAAAAUUAAAACAAUUGAACUCAUGAAGGUAGAAGGUAGAAUGAUGGUUACCAGAAGCUGAGAAAGGCCAUGAGAGUGGAGGGUUGGGGAGGGGAGUGGAGAUAGUUAAUGGGUACAAAAUAAAGUUAGAUUGAAUGAAUAGGAUCUAGUGUUUGAUACUACAACAGGGUGAUUACAAUCAACAAGAAUUUAUUAUAUAUAUGAAAAUAACUAAAGAUUUUAAUUGGAUUGUUUGUGACAAAAAGAAAGGAUACAUGCUUGAGGUGAUGGAUACCCCACUUACCCUGAUUUGCUUAUUAUGCAAUGUAUGCCUGUAUCAAAAUAUCUCAUGUACUCCAUAAAUAUAUACCGCUACCAUGUACCCACAAAAGCUAAAAGUUAAAAAUUAAAAUAAAUAAAUAAAAUAAACUUUCAGGUUAAAAAAAGGAAGUUGAUGUUCCUCUUAAAGAGUCUGUGGAAAUUUUCUUCUUCAUAAGUCACCUCACAAUCCAAAUAUAAAGGCUAAAGUUGGGCCCACUGGCUAGUUGAACUUGUGUCAUCCUAAAGCAGCUUAAUUGUAGUAUUGUCAUGCUUUAAGAGCUGGGAAAAUUGAGGAACAUGAGAUCAGACACAGCCAAACUUAACUUUCACUGAGGCUGCUGCCCCUCCUGUGGGUAUAAUAUUUCCGUUCAUCAAAAGAUUUUUUUCCUUACUUAAUGUACUUACCAUGUGGUUUUAUUAGAAUGAAUAGCUCUCUCCUUGUAAAUGCAUUUGGUUGGAAAUUCAAUUUCUUUCAGGGCCAGUGGGAGAGGUCGAAGGGCUAUAAAUAUUCCUUCUCCAAACUGUUUAUAAGUAAAAUGGCAUUGCCUAAGAGGCCUGAAAAAUGUUGCGCUAUAUCCUGAAUUAUGUACAAAUCCCUGGCAAUCUUCUGUUUCUUUCUUUGAUGAGGACAGAUUUUACAGUCUCCCUCAGUGAUGAGUUAUGUUCGUAGUUGUUUUAAUGGAUAGCUGUGUCUAUGAAGAAUGAGAGUGAUCACCAGGGCUUCAACUCUAACUCCUGACUUUUCUUUUAAACCUGGGGACUAGAAAUUCUCAUCAUGCCUCCCUCAUUGUUGUAUCUAGUGUUGAAAUGAGGAGACCUUGGUAGAACCUACUAACCCCUCUGCCUCUGGGUUGUGCAACUUUGGGUAAGGCCCACAACUACUUUGUUCUUAUUUUUCUUGUGUUAAAUGAAACUAUUAUCUUCUAUGCAUUCCUCCCAGGCUUGAUGUAGAUAUAAUUUUAGUCCCAUUUUCAAAGUCAGUUUUUAAUUCAUUCCAUCAAAUAAUUAGUUUCAUAGCAUAUUUCUGGGUGGCAAGCAUGCACAGACAAAAGAGAUAAUGCAAUGCUUUUGUGAAAUCACGUACAUUGUCUCAUGUGAUUUUCCUCCUCAGAAUGAUUGUUGGUCUGGGGAAAAAUAAGAAAAUUUUUGGUAUUGUCCUCUUUAAUUGAAAAGUGAGGUUCAGUAGGAAAGAAAUGAAAACUACAAUUUUGUGAGUGUCUACUAUAUGCCAAGCACAAGCUGGAUGCUAAAUAUGUAAAUUGGAUAGCUACCAGCUGAUUUCAUUUACAUCCACUCUUGAAUGGGUUUACAUCCAUUCUAACUUGGCUUCCUCCUCAUGUUUUCAUCACCCCCAGAGGUAUCUAAGCCAUCUAUUGUGGAGUCUUAAUUGGGUCCAGUAUCGUGGAGAAGUAAAUUGGCCCUGCAAAAGAGUUAAUUGGAAUGUGGGUGGUAGCAACUCUGAAAAACUUGUUUUCAUCCUGCGUAAGUAAUGGUGUGAGGCAGGGAGGAGUAUGUUGUGUUUGCUGACUUGCUGCAUGAAGGAUAAUUAGGUGCUACAUCAAUGUGAAAUAGGAUGGCAAAAUGAGACUCUUUCUAUUUCAUUUUAGGCUGAAGGUCCCAAAGACAGACAGUUAUACAAAGCAAAGGUGAUAACUCAGCUGGCCAAGGAAGUCCUCUAAUUUGAGACCUCAAUUUUGAGAUCUUAAUACCUAACUAAAGAUAGAUUCAGAUAUUAAAAUCUACCUGUUAAGGCUGCAGAGGUUGAGCAAGGAGACUUGUUUCAGUUUAAAGGCUUUUGGGGAGAGAUUUGUUAAUAUGCUGCAUGUGAUUGACACCCUCUUCCUUGCCCAUACAGGAAGGGAGAGCAUUUAGGGAACUUCAAGAGAAACACUCAGAAUAAUUGAUCUAUGUUCCUUUGAGUUUUUGAGGUACAGAAAAAAGGGUUUUUGCAGAUGUAAUUAUGUUAGGAAUCUUGAAGUAAGAUCCUGGCUAAUUGUCUUUGGAUUGAGUCCAAACAACAAGUGGUUGCCUGCCCCAUCUGUCCUCCCCUCAAGCAUACUCUAAGCUAUUUAGGCUUUGGGUUCCAUGAAAUCUGGAAAAAUUCUUCAGAGGCUGAAAGACAGUAAGAACAUUAAUUUCCCCUACAGUUUCCCAGUCUGAAGAGAGCUGCUUGUUAAAACAGGGAAAAGCAUCUCUAAUUCAAAAUGCCAGUAGUCAUACAAUUAAACUGGGAAAUGGAGAACUAAUUAUGAUUGUAUAAAAUAUAUGAAGCUUUCAUAUCAAAAAGUAAAUCUCAAAUGGCUCAGCUUUAGGAUAUCCAUCUUUCUCAGCCUGGUCCCUGGCUGGAGACAAAUAUUUGGCAUAUGUCAUAGUUUAGCCAUCAACCCAAAGGCACCAAGAUACUUGCUGCUAUCACCUAUUUUCUUCCAUGUCGUUUUGAGAUCUUUGCCUAUUGCCAGACCCAUCUUUGCCAAAAAGGAAUUAAUCAUGUUCUAGUGAAGUCACUGUGGGUAUGUAUUUAUUCAUUCUCAGGAGCCUGGCAAUGGCUCCAGUCCUUUGAGUUCCCCCUGGUAGGGUGAUGGGAAUGUAUAGUUUAGAAAAAUAUAGAGUUUUGCGUUAUACCCUUUGAUCAGCAUAAUGCCAGAUUAGCUAGGAAAUGUGGUCGUGGCCUGGUUUAUUUGGACUGGGAGUGGCAAUCCAGGAAAUGGACUUUACCAAAGAGCCAAGGUGGCAUCUGUCUUCUAUCCAAUCAUCUAACUGCUGUGGAAAAAAAUAUACUGAAUAGCAAAAGUAUUUGUACUGAUAAAUUUCUUUUCCUAUCACUGAAACCAGUAAAUCAUUUUAUAAUGUUCAUUCAUUUGUAAAAACAGUUACCAUCUAC